UUAAUAUGUUUCUCUUCUAUAUUUGGUUGUAAACUCUCUUCCCUCUUCCCUUUCAACCAAAGAACAAAGGCGUCUAAAAGGUGGUUUGAUCGCACAACUUGUAGUUAACUAAGCAAUGUGCACCCAAAUCAGACCAGCCAUCAUCAGUGUUGGGCAAAGUUAGGAGUAGUAUUGUACUACGCAAACCAAACUGUUUCAACAACCAUAGACAAAGCAUAACCUAACUGAAACACAUGAAGCCAAUUUUCGGCUGCCGCCACCACCACAACAUAGCCACUCUUACUCGUGGCUUGCGCCACUUUUCCACCACCCCGAAGCCCCCACUCCUCUACACCGCCGACACAAUAGCCGGCAACGACGCCAUCCUGCAGGUCCUCUCGUGGGGCAGAGGCGCCUCCGGCCAGCUCGGGGGUGGCGUGGAGGAGACCCGCCUGUAUCCUUCUCCGGUGGCCAACCUGGCCGUCCCCAAAUCCUCCUUCUCUCUCGCCCAAACUCCCGGCCGCCUCCCCGCGGAGAAGUGUCGAACCCCUGAAGUGGGCAUCUCGUGUGGACUUUUCCACUCUUCGUUAGUCGCUGGUGGGGCUCUCUGGAUUUGGGGAAAAGGUGAUGGUGGAAGAUUGGGCUUCGGCCACGAGCAUUCCCUGUUCGUGCCCACCCUGAACCCUCACCUAGAUAACCUUCGCUCUGUAGCCCUCGGCGGCUUGCACUCCGUUGCUCUUACAUCAGCUGGCGAGGUCUUCACCUGUUUUCAGGGGUUAUGGUGGUUUUGGUGCACUUGGACACUCAGUAUAUCACCGAGAGUUAUUUCCGAGGUUGGUAAAAGGCUCCUGGGAGGGAACUAUAAAACACAUUGCCACCAGUGGAACACAUACUGCAGCAAUCACAACAUCAGGUUUGUAUUGGACAUAGGAGAGCUUUAUACCUGGGGUCGAGAUGAAGGGGAUGGUCGAUUGGGCCUUGGUCCUGGUCGGGGCCCAGAUCAUGCUGGUGGACUUAGUAUCCCUUCCAGGGUAAAAGAAUUACCUUACCCUGUUGCUGCUGCUUCCUGUGGGGGAUUUUUCACAAUGGCAUUGACGGAGGAUGGACAAUUAUGGAACUGGGGAGCUAAUUCUAACUAUGAACUUGGGAGAGGUGAUAAGACUGGUGGUUGGAAGCCGAGGCCCAUACCCAGCCUUGAAAAUGUUAAAAUUAUUCAAAUAGCAAGUGGUGGAUAUCACUCCCUAGCAUUAACUGGUGAUGGGAAAGUGCUCUCAUGGGGCCAUGGUGGACAAGGUCAGUUGGGCCAUGGAUCUGUCCAGAAUCAGAAGAUACCAGCUGUAGUUGAGGCUUUAUCUCAAGAGCAUAUUAUAUAUAUUACAUGUGGGGGUUCCUCAUCAGCAGCUUUGACGGUUGCAGGAAACUAGUCUUUUCUACAUGGGAUGACUUCUAUUUAUUGGAAAGACUGAAAAGAAAACAAAAUAGGAGAGCCCUCUCUCCUCCAAGGGUUUCCCUUCACACAUGAUGGAAGGGAACCCACUGGCUAGUGCCUGCCAAUUCAGGUCUGGAGGUUUGGGUGGUGAUCGAUAUGACUCCUUCUGUUCCAUUAAUGAUAAGAACUGCUUCAAACCAAGAGACCUGGAAAACCAGUGACUUCUUGCACGACUCAAAUUCUAUGGCAUAUCUUCGUGACAGCUCUUGUUUUCUCAUUUCUACUUCUAGAUCUUCCAGAAUUACUUGGCCAUCCCCAUAAAGCACAAGUGUUGUAAUAUGCUCUGAAACUGUUUGCAUUGCUUCCAUUACUGAAGUUUCUUUCCUUCCAUCUUUACUUUCCUCCAUUGUGAGUAAUUCAAGAUGGCUAGUGAAAAACAACUCUGCAAGAAAACCAGAAAUUCCUUUGUGGCCAUUGAUAGAAGCAAGAUCUACAGGUGUUAUAACAUCAGGAAAUUCAAGAUAUGGAUUUGUAACUGCCGUAGUGGAUGCACCCCUGGACACCAGGGCCUCAACUAGGUCGCUCCCUGACCCCACUGUUUUAACCCUAGGCCUCAACAAUUCUGCUCCCUCCUCAUCUGGUUUACUACUCGGUGUAGAUGUAUCUUCUCUUCAUCAUUAGCCAAGUACUCUCCUUCUUCAGAGAAUUUCUUGCCUUUCUUGCUAUUCUGCAGACUAUCUUUCUCAGCAUCCAAUCCCGUUUCUCUCUCUUUCUUUCUUUUCAUGACAGAUUUCUCACUUCCUUUUAAGCCCCUUCCAUGAUUUAUGCGUUCCUACCGCAUGUCUUUCUUUUCUUGGACGAUUUCUCUUAUUUCUUGCACAAUAUGAACCAUUUUAUUACUUUUGUGAUGUUUAAUUUUGACAAAUUAUAUGUAUAUAUAUGAGAGGAGGGAUCAAGUAACUAAGAUACUUAUUCCUCAUGCUCACCCUUCAUUUUCAGAACUUAAAUGAAUGACUCUUCAGACAGUUAGAUUAAAAGAAAAUAGUAACUCUUAAAAGUUAGAGUAACCUGAUCCCCACUCCCUUGUUUCUCUCUCAGCAUAUAUAGACAUACAUAGAGCUGGCUCAUAAACCGAUGUAAUCUGAGUAUAUAUAGCUGAUUAUUUUUAUUUGUGAAUUCCAUGAUCCAAUUAAAUGAUAUUCUUAAUAAGUCUAUUUGACGCAAAUGAUAAUAUGCACCUAAAUUCUGUUCUGUAUUUUAAUUCUCUUACUUCCUUUUAUAUUCUCGUAUGAUUGCUUGUGGAUAUUGAGAUCGGGAAAUUAUGGACGUUUGCGGUAAAUUGUUCAUCUAAUGAAAUAUUGCGAUUAAAUUAUGUAGUGAUGUACAUAAAGAAAAUGCUUAGAGCUGAUCUCUCAAGCAAUUUAUAAAUCAAUUGUCAAAGUUGUAGGUUGUUUGGCGAAAAUUGAACUUCGAAAUUUCUCAUUUUCCUUGUCAUGAUAAGUUCAUGUUAAACAAAAUUUCAAUUCAUCGUAACACAAACUAAGGUUACUUU